ensembl:lncRNA
AAUCAGCCCAGCACAUCUCUGUGCUUUUCAUAAGUUAAUUGCUAACUUCCAAGGGAAAAAACACUGUUUCUUACUUUCUGGUCUCUUAUCACAUAUGCUGAGCACGGCUUGGUUAAGCAGUAACUCUCGCUAUGCAGAAUGAAGCGCUCUGAUACCAUCUCAGAUACGAGCAGCUCUGUGUCGUUGUGGAGACGCAUAAAGUGGUCCAGGUCCUUGAAAACAUGGUACUUGGAAGUCAUCUGAUUUCUGGAUUAAAUUGUAAGGAACCCAUGUUUUGCUGUAAAUGUGAUGUGGAAGAAAAAAAUUCAAAGGUAUCUUGCGGCUCAACUGAAACCAAACACAUCAACUAUGGAGAUAAUUCACCUCUUAAAACAGUGUCUUGACUCUGGCCCUUUCCAAGCCGUCUUCUGAGAAGAAAGGAAGUUUGCUUGUUCUCUGGGUUGCAGCCUCCGUCGCCAAGUCCAAACACAAGAAGAAAUGACUGGGAAUCAGACCAUGGGGAUACCACACUGCAUGUUGCAGACGUGUGGCCUGGAGGCAGUUUGGGACUCACUCUUCAACACCAGUCAGGUCUUCUCCGAGUGUCCACUUCCCACAGGGUUGGUGUAUGGCCGUGCCCAAGGGGAGACAGAAGUUUGCUUUAAUAAGAAGAUGAGUCAAGUACCUUUGCUUUUCCCCAUCCUUUUCUAUGGCUUGUAGAACAUCUGGGAAUUUUUAAAACUCCCUACCAUAGCACAAAUAGAGCCUUAAAUAUAAUAAUGUC